rnacentral:lncRNA from 1 species
ACUGGGAGUCGACUCGUCUUAACCUGGAGUCGACUCGCCAACUUCUGGAGCUGACUUGGCAAUUUCGGAGUCGGCUCAUCCACUGAAGUCCGUGGAUCCAAUUUUGAAUUUGAUCCACUUCGAGUCGACUCGACUGUCCUGGGAGUCGACUCGAAUCUCAGAGCCCGAACUCCCGAUCCUCUGUCUUUUGGCUCAUCCAGUCUUGGAGUCGACUCGAAUUUCCUCGGAGUCGACUCGACUCUCAGUUUCCGAAAGUUGGUCUUCUGCCUUUUGACGUGAAGCUUGUCUUGGAGUCGACUCGAGCUGUCUGGGAGUCGACUCGAAUCUCAGAGGCAGUAACUUGGUUUUCUGUCUGUUGAUGGUCGCGGAGUCUCGGAGUCGACUCGUGCAAUGCGGGAGUCGACUCGAAUCUCAGAGUCCAUGAAAUGCUCUCUGACUUUUUCUUUAUGUACCGCUGAGAGUCGACUCUUGCUUUCUUUGGAGUCGACCUGCCAACCAUCGGAGUCGACUCGCGUUCCACUGGAGUCGACUCGAAUUUCAGACCCGAAAACUGCUCUCUGACUUUUCUGCCUGUGACUCCUAGGAGUCGACUCAUACUUCCCCGGAGUCGACUCGG